AGCACUGUUUAAUGUGCUGACAGAUGUAAGUCCGACGUGCGACCACCGCACUGCCUGAACAUGGCUUUGGGAUUAC
rfam:Methanoregula formicica SMSP chromosome, complete genome.